rnacentral:rRNA from 1 species
GACGAACGCUGGCGGCGUGCUUAACACAUGCAAGUCGAACGGAAAGGCCCUGCUUUUGUGGGGUGCUCGAGUGGCGAACGGGUGAGUAACACGUGAGUAACCUGCCCUUGACUUUGGGAUAACUUCAGGGAACUGGGGCUAAUACCGGAUAGGAGCUCCUGAUGCAUGGUGGGGGAUGGAAAGUUUCGGCGGUUGGGGAUGGACUCGCGGCCUAUCAGCUUGUUGGUGGGGUAGUGGCGUACCAAGGCUUUGACGGGUAGCCGGCCUGAGAGGGUGACCGGCCACAUUGGGACUGAGAUGCGGCCCAGACUCCUACGGGAGGCAGCAGUGGGGAAUAUUGCACGAUGGGCGGAAGCCUGAUGCAGCAACGCCGCGUGCGGGAUGACGGCCUUCGGGUUAUAAACCGCUUUCGCCUGUGACGAAGCGUGAGUGACGGUAAUGGGUAAAGAAGCACCGGCUAACUACGUG